rnacentral:siRNA from 1 species
GGUCCAUAGCUCAGUGGUAGAGC